CGUCCUGGGCGUUCGGCGAAUUCGGGUUAAACGGGUCGGGUUAUUCGGUUAUGACAAAAUUCGGUUUACAAAAAAAUCCACCGAACCAAACCGAAAUUUAUUUCGGUUCGGUUCGGUCGGUACUCGGGUUAUUCGGUUCGGUUAUUUGCUUUUAAAUCAUUUCCGAAAUUUAACCGAAUUUUUUCUAUUUCGGUUAAUAUAAACCGAAUAAAAGAAUAACAAUGUAUAAUGGGCUAAAAGAAGCCCAAAUCCAUUAUAUCUUUGAAAAUGAUAUUAACAAAGAAAAUUAAAAGCCCAUUUAAUAAAUUUACAAAGUGAAUCCAUUAACAACAAUUAGGGUUCGAGUCGGCAGCGCGGCGGCAGCGACGGCAUGACCGACCGUUCAGUCUCUCCGUUCGAUGAAGCUUGUUCGAAAACCAUAAAUAAUAGAUCUGAAGAUUACCGAUAAGUUUGGUAAUGAGAGAGAGGAAGAAGUGGUUCGUGGUUACGGGUUUAGAAAGAAGAAGUGUUAACAACGAUUGAGAUUUAGAGAAUAAAAGAGGAUGUAGAAGAUGAUGAACUCACGAGGGAGAAGAGACGUGAUGAAUCAUGAACAGAUGAAGAAAGAUCUAGGACUAGUGAUAUGAUUAGAAUUAGGAAGAAAGAAGUACAAAUGAAGUCUCUCGUUUUUGUUGCAAGCGGCAGCCAAAGAAAAAGAUUAAAACAUAUUAGGGUUAACGACUCAUCACAAACUUUAUAUAUGGCUGCAGAAUCUCAGUUUCAGCAAAACCGAUCGGUACCGAUUACCGAACCGACC
rnacentral:lncRNA from 1 species